GUAAGAUUGAUAUGGUUGGGAUCAAGUUGUCUUUCUGGCUGUAUAGGAGGUUAUGUUCCCCAGUUAAUAUGAAAGUAUCUUUCUCUCUGCUAAUGCACUUUUCCUGUUUGCAUUCUCCAGUAAAGCUCCAGUAAUUAGUCCACCAACAGAAAAUUAAUCAGCAAGUGGUAGCAAACUGAAUAUCUUGUGGUUUGGGCUGCUGGUCAAUCACCAUGGACUGUGGGGAAUUGCAACCAGCUGUCUGCAGUGGGUUCAGCUCACAGCUAACUGGCUAACGUGUAGCUCGGCCGCCUGUCACCAUAUGGAAGCACAGUUUCUCUCAGGCCUUAACGUUUCAAUAAGAUGCUGAGGAAGUUGGUGGACGCUCCUGUAUCCGGUGGCUACUCAUGCAAUCAUUCAGCUCACACCAUUGAAGAAGAGAAGUGAAGCUGCAGUUACCUGUUGCUGGCUCACCUAUCCAUAGCUACACCAGUAAUGAAGAAAGGAAAUGUUACAUUCAUGUCAGAAGUGGGAUCUCUGAGGAAAAUGACAUUACUCCGGGAGACUGACGAACUUGUCUCCCAGCUGGAAGAAGAGGUAACACUACAAUCCAGAGCAAAAAGCCAGACAGCCACUUCAAGCUUGCUAGCUACUCUGCUCUCAGUGAGAGCCACCAGAAUCGGCACAUCGGAGAUGACAUCAGAGGCAGCUGCUGGAGGCCUUUGUGAACAUCUUUGCGGCCACAGAUGAAGACUGCAUGCACACUAGCCUGGAGCAGCACAACACUGAUGCACCCCACAUCUGCCUCUGACCGCGGUGCCUACCUCUCACCACACAAGCUACAAUGGAACAGAAGAUUAGAGAGAUGACAGGAGUGGGCACCAUCAAGCCACCCAACAGCCCGUGGCUGGCACCUGUUAUGGUCCAGAAUACAGUCAGUACCUGGAGGCCAUGUGUCAACUACUGCAGCCUUAACAAGGUUACUCAAAGAUUCUUAUCUGCUGCCUUGCAUCGAUGACGCCCUGGACUAUAUCACUAGGUCCCACUGGGUUAGUUCCCCUGAUUAGCACAGCAGCUACUGGCAGAUGGAGUUCAUGCUAGAUGCACAGCCCAAGACUGCCUUCUCCAUUGGCUAAGGAUGUAGUAGUUGCCUUUUGGCUUCUGCAAAACCUUGACACUGGAAGCCAGCCACUGGGCCCCGACCCCC